GCCGACUUCUCCCUGGAUGCCUCGGUAGCGGUGGCCCUCCAUACGGUGCUGCACAAACCCUUCCGGGAUCAGCUUCAACAAUACACUCUCAUCCUCUCCAAGCUCAAGGGAGCUGGUGGCCAGUGCCCUGAGAGUGAAGCAAUCACUGAUGCUACAGACAAGUUUACAAAGCUGCGGUCCUUCGUCAGCCAAGUCUUGGAUGAAGCUUGUCUUACCAGAAGUCUGUGGAAAUCCCUGGGACACAAAUUCACGGAUGUUCUCCGCAUUCCGGAGCGGAGGUUGCUAGAAGACAGCCGGAACCUUACGGUCUUUUC